GGAGAAUCACUGUGGUCCAUAACUUACCUUACAAAGACGCAAGACGUACUGGAAAAGUAAACUUCUAAAUUUUAGUCAACACAUUUCAAUUUCUAUGAAACUAAGCACAGCCAGAUGAUCUAUGUCUUCAUAGUAGCUCUCUGGGGUCCUUCCUUCUUGAUCUUGUUUGAAGUUCAGUUUAAAUGGAUGCUUUAAGAAUUAAGG
rnacentral:misc_RNA from 1 species